UACAGAGGUCUCAAGCGUUGUUCGGAUUCAUUGGGCGUAAAGGGUGCGUAGGCGGCGCGGUAAGUCGGGUGUGAAAUCUCGGAGCUUAACUCCGAAACUGCAUUCGAUACUGCCGUGCUUGAGGACUGGAGAGGAGACUGGAAUUUACGGUGUAGCGGUGAAAUGCGCAGAUAUCAGGAGGAACACCAAUUGCGAAGGCAGCUCGCUGGGACGGUACUGACACUGAGACGCGAAAGCGUGGGGAGCGAACAGG
rnacentral:rRNA from 1 species